CCCCGUACGCCGUACGGGGCCGCAAUUCAGCAUUAGUAACCAAGGGGGUCUGCUCGUG
rfam:Salmonella enterica subsp. enterica serovar Newport str. S09097 S_Newport_S09097_mira454_c391, whole genome shotgun sequence.